GACGAACGCUGGCGGCGUGCUUAACACAUGCAAGUCGAGCGGUAAGGCCCUUUUGGGGGUACACGAGCGGCGAACGGGUGAGUAACACGUGGGUGACCUGCCCUCAGCUCUGGGAUAAGGCCUGGGAAACUGGGUCUAAUACUGGAUAUGACCUUUCCUCGCAUGGGGUUGGGUGGAAAGUUUUUCGGCUGGGGAUGGGCCCGCGGCCUAUCAGCUUGUUGGUGGGGUGAUGGCCUACCAAGGCGACGACGGGUAGCCGGCCUGAGAGGGCGACCGGCCACACUGGGACUGAGACACGGCCCAGACUCUACGGGAGGCAGCAGU
rnacentral:rRNA from 1 species